rnacentral:tRNA from 1 species
GGAGGCAUGGCUCAAGUGGUGGAGCAUCUGCCUAAUAAGCAGGAAGCCCUGAGUUCAAACCCCAGUGCCACUA